rnacentral:rRNA from 1 species
ACCAUACCACCCUACAUCCCACAGCUUGCUUGCUUCUGAAGCUAAGCAGGGUUGGUCCUGCUCAGUCCCUGGAUGGGAGACCAGAUUCUGCUGGAAGU